GGGAGCACCGGACCACCAGCGCGGGCAGCCGGGCCCGGGGGCAACCGCCCGCGGGAAACCGGGAAGCGGAGGGGCCGCAGAGGGACCGCCUGCAGCCAGGAGGAGACCAGGGCUGGGCUUUCCUCACCCCGGUACUUUCUCAUCCUAUAACUUCAGUGUCCUGAAAUCUGAGGAUUCCACCAAGAUAAUAUGAUAGGAACUUCCAGUGACUUGGAGCCAUAUCCUACUUAGACUAAUGCAGUCCUUCCAGAUUUCUGAGAGCUUGGUACAACAGCACUCGCUGUAACAGGCACAGGCAAUAAUGCCAUCUUUGCCUCAAGAAAGAGUCAUUCAGGGACCCUCUCCCCUGGAUCUGAGUACAGAAUUGCCUUAUCAAAGCACAAUGAAAAGGAAAGUCCGAAAGAAGAAAAAGAAGGGAACCAUUACAGCAAAUGUUGCCGGGACAAAGUUUGAAAUUGUUCGUUUAGUAAUAGAUGAAAUGGGAUUUAUGAAAACUCCAGAUGAGGAUGAAACAAGUAACCUUAUAUGGUGUGAUUCUGCGGUUCAGCAGGAAAAGAUUGCAGAGCUGCAAAAUUACCAGAGGAUCAACCAUUUUCCAGGAAUGGGGGAGAUCUGUCGAAAGGAUUUCUUAGCAAGAAAUAUGACCAAAAUGAUCAAGUCCCGGCCUCUGGAUUAUACCUUUGUUCCUCGAACAUGGAUCUUUCCUGCUGAAUAUACGCAAUUCCAGAACUACAUGAAAGAAUUGAAGAAAAAAAGAAAGCAGAAAACUUUUAUAGUAAAACCAGCUAAUGGUGCAAUGGGUCAUGGGAUUUCCUUGAUAAGAAAUGGUGACAAACUUCCAUCUCAGGAUCAUUUGAUUGUUCAAGAAUACAUCGAAAAGCCUUUCCUAAUGGAAGGUUACAAGUUUGAUUUACGAAUUUAUAUUCUGGUGACAUCGUGUGAUCCACUGAAAAUAUUUCUCUACCAUGAUGGACUUGUGCGAAUGGGAACAGAGAAAUACAUUCCACCUAAUGAGUCUAAUUUGACCCAGUUAUACAUGCAUCUAACUAACUACUCUGUGAACAAGCACAAUGAGCGUUUUGAAAGGGAUGAGACUGAAAACAAAGGGAGCAAACGUUCCAUCAAGUGGUUUACAGAAUUCCUACAAGCAAAUCAACAUGAUGUUGCUAAGUUUUGGAGUGAUAUUUCAGAGUUGGUUGUAAAGACUUUGAUUGUAGCAGAGCCUCAUGUCCUGCAUGCGUAUCGAAUGUGCAGACCUGGUCAACCUCCAGGAAGUGAAAGUGUCUGUUUCGAAGUCCUGGGAUUUGAUAUCUUGUUGGACAGAAAACUAAAGCCAUGGCUUCUGGAGAUUAAUCGUGCUCCAAGCUUUGGAACUGAUCAGAAAAUAGACUAUGAUGUAAAAAGGGGAGUGCUGCUAAAUGCACUAAAGCUACUAAACAUCAGGACCAGUGAUAAAAGGAGAAACUUGGCCAAACAAAAAGCUGAAGCUCAAAGGAGGCUUUAUGGUCAAAAUUCAAUAAAAAGGCUCUUACCAGGUUCCUCAGACUGGGAACAGCAGAGACAUCAGUUAGAGAGGCGGAAAGAAGAGUUGAAAGAGAGACUUGCUCAGUUACGAAAGCAGAUUUUAAAAGAAGAACAUGAAAAUCGGCAUAUGGGGAAUUAUAGACGAAUUUAUCCUCCUGAAGAUAAAACUCUGCUUGAAAAGUACGAAAAUUUGUUGGCUGUUGCCUUUCAGACCUUCCUUUCAGGGAGAGCAGCUUCAUUCCAGCGAGAGCUGAAUAAUCCUUUGAAAAGGAUGAAGGGUGCUAAGGAAGAAGAUAUUUUGGAUCUUCUGGAACAAUGUGAAAUUGACGAUGAAAAAUUGAUGGGCAAAACUGCCAAGCCUCGAGGACCAAAGCCUCUGUCCUCCAUGCCUGAGAGCUCUGAGGUAAUGAAAAGACAGAAAUACUACAGCAGCGACAGCAGUUACGACAGCAGCCGCAGCGCUUCAGAACCCGAGGAUGAGAACGAAGAGUACCAAAAUAAGAACAGAGAAAAGCAAGUUACGUACAACCUUAAACAGUCCAACAACUACAAAUUAAUUCAACAAUCCAGCUCCAUUAGGCGCUCAGUCAGUUGCCCUCGGUCCAUCUCUUCUCAGUCACCUUCCAGCGCGGACAGCCGCCCCUUUUCUGCGCAACAAGUGAUACCAGCAUCCCGGCCAACUUCAGGGUCCCGGUCACAUUCUUUAAACCGUGCCUCCUCCUACAUGAGGCAUCUGCCUCACACUAAUGAUGCCAGCUCUCCUAACUCUCAGAUGAGUGAGUCUUUGCGGCAACUGAGAACAAAGGAACAAGAAGACGAUCUAACGAGUCAGACCUUAUUUGUCCUCAAGGACAUGAAGAUCCGGUUUCCAGGAAAAUCAGAUGCAGAAUCAUUACUUCUGAUAGAAGAUAUCAUUGAUAACUGGAAGUAUCAUAAAACAAAAGUGGCUUCAUAUUGGCUCAUAAAAUUGGACUCUGUAAAACAACGGAAAUCUUGUUUAUUUCAGAUAAAAUCAGAGGUUUUGGACAUAGUAAAAACAAGUAUUCGUACAAUUCUUCCACGUAUCUGGAAGGUACCUGAUGUCGAGGAAGUAAGUUUAUAUCGGAUUUUCAACCGGGUUUUUAAUCGCCUACUCUGGAGUCAUGGCCAAGGACUGUGGAACUGUUUCUGUGAUUCAGGAUCCUCUUGGGAGAGUAUUUUCAGUAAAAGCCCGGAGGUGAUGACUCCUUUGCAGCUCCAGUGUUGCCAGCGCUUGGUUGAACUUUGUAAACAGUGCCUGCUAGUGGUUUACAAAUAUGCAACUGACUCAAGAGGAUCACUCUCAGGCAUUGGUACUGACUGGGGUAAUUCCAGUUAGAGAAAAAGCUAAAGACCGAAAAUUCAUACAUGCUGUUAUCUACAAAAGACUUUUAAUUUGCACCAUCUUUACCUUUAAAGGACCAAACAAGGACAGCAACCACAAACCUGAAGGAAGCUGAGUUUAUUUUGGGGGUAUCAGGGGUCCUCAUCUUACUCCAGGAAAAUCUCAGAAGGUAUUUAUUACCAGGAAGUACACAAUUCUUCAUGAGAACACCAAACUACACCUUGAAAUACAGUUCACCUGGAAUGACUCGCUCCAAUGUUUUGUUUACAUCCCGAUAUGGCCAUUUGUGAAACAGAAAGGAAGAUUGCCAUGGAUUAUGCAUAAUAGCAAUUCAUUUUUUUCCCUCCAAUGUAAACAUGCAAAGAAAGUGACCAUUAAGUGCUGUUUUAUGUAUAUAUGACAUAUAUGUGUGAAAAUAUAUACAUGUGCACUCAAAUAACAUAUAUAUUUAUUACCAUAUAUGAAAGAAGAGUUAGCAGAAAACUGGAUAUAAGACUUAACCUUUCUGGAAAUGUAAUAAACCAUUAAAUUGUUUACACAAAUAUGUGAACGUCUAGAAUUUGCUAGGUUUAUAAUUAAUACCUUCCU